UGCAUGGUAGCUCAACUGGUAGAGCAUUCUGUUGAUAACGGAACGGUUGCAGGUUCGAUUCCUGCCUAUGCAA
rnacentral:tRNA from 1 species